AGAGAGGACCUUAAUUCCAGAUC
rnacentral:snRNA from 1 species